GCUUCCUACGGGAGGCAGCAGUGGGGAAUGUUGGACAAUGGGCGCAAGCCUGAUCCAGCCAUACCGCGUGGGUGAAGAAGGCCUUCGGGUUGUAAAGCCCUUUUGUUGGGAAAGAAAUCCUGCCGGUUAAUAACCAGUAGGGAUGACGGUACCCAAAGAAUAAGCACCGGCUAACUUCGUGCCAGCAGCCGCGGUAAUACGAAGGGUGCAAGCGUUACUCGGAAUUACUGGGCGUAAAGCGUGCGUAGGUGGUUGUUUAAGUCUGCUGUGAAAGCCCUGGGCUCAACCUGGGAAUUGCAGUGGAUACUGGGCGACUAGAGUGUGGUAGAGGAUAGUGGAAUUUCCGGUGUAGCAGUGAAAUGCGUAGAGAUCGGAAGGAACAUCUGUGGCGAAGGCGACUAUCUGGGCCAACACUGACACUGAGGCACGAAAGCGUGGGGAGCAAACAGGAUUAGAUACCCUGGUAGUCCACGCCCUAAACGAUGCGAACUGGAUGUUGGGCACAACUUGGUGCCCAGUAUCGAAGCUAACGCGUUAAGUUCGCCGCCUGGGGAGUACGGUCGCAAGACUGAAACUC
rnacentral:rRNA from 1 species